GAUGAACGCUGGCUACAGGCUUAACACAUGCAAGUCGAGGGGAAACGACGGGGAAGCUUGCUUCCCCGGGCGUCGACCGGCGCACGGGUGAGUAACGCGUAUCCAACCCGCCUCUGACUGAGGGAUAACCCGUCGAAAGUCGGCCUAAUACCUCAUGGCAUCGUCUGCGGGCAUCCAACGACGAUUAAAGAUUUCAUCGGUCAGGGAUGGGGAUGCGUCUGAUUAGCUAGUUGGCGGGGUAACGGCCCACCAAGGCGACGAUCAGUAGGGGUUCUGAGAGGAAGGUCCCCCACAUUGGAACUGAGACACGGUCCAAACUCCUACGGGAGGCAGCAGUGAGGAAUAUUGGUCAAUGGGCGAGAGCCUGAACCAGCCAAGUAGCGUGCAGGAUGACGGCCCUAUGGGUUGUAAACUGCUUUUAUGCGGGGAUAAAGUGAGGGACGUGUCCUUCAUUGCAGGUACCGCAUGAAUAAGGACCGGCUAAUUCCGUG
rnacentral:rRNA from 1 species